rnacentral:rRNA from 1 species
AUUGAACGCUGGCGGCAUGCCUUACACAUGCAAGUCGAACGGUAACGCGGGGCAACCUGGCGACGAGUGGCGAACGGGUGAGUAAUGCAUCGGAACGUGCCCAGAAGUGGGGGAUAGACCGGCGAAAGCCGGAUUAAUACCGCAUGAGACCUGAGGGUGAAAGCGGGGGAUCGCAAGACCUCGCGCUUUUGGAGCGGCCGAUGUCAGAUUAGCUAGUUGGUGGGGUAAAGGCCUACCAAGGCGACGAUCUGGAGCUGGUCUGAGAGGACGACCAGCCACACUGGGACUGAGACACGGCCCAGACUCCUACGGGAGGCAGCAGUGGGGAAUUUUGGACAAUGGGCGCAAGCCUGAUCCAGCCAUGCCGCGUGCGGGAAGAAGGCCUUCGGGUUGUAAACCGCUUUUGUCAGGGAAGAAACGCUCUGGGCUAAUACCCUGGGGUAAUGACGGUACCUGAAGAAUAAGCACCGGCUAACUACGUGCCAGCCGCCGCCGUAA